AACGAUUGUUAAUUUUGGAACCAAGGAUUCCUUUUUUUUUUUGCUACGCUUAUCAUUGAUCUCAUUUUCCUUGAUAUUUUUGUCCACGCGUUUGUUCCAUUCCUAAAUGGCUUGCGAUCGGUCGAUCUAAGAUUAGGGUUUCACUUCCCGUUCUUCAUUUUGCAUCUUGCUAAAAUCUACCUCGUUUUUGUGAAUUUUUGUCUGUGCAGAUUUAACGAGGGCACUGCCCUGAGAAUCUUUUGUACGAUCUACCAUUAUUUUUUUUUUUUAUUUUAAUACAAGUUGUAGAUUUAAAAGAUCAUUGACUUCCAAAGUCACCUUCUAAGUUUAGGGUUUUGGAAUGAGAAAUGGAUUUGCUGUAAUUUGUGGACUCAACUUCUACGCUGGACUUAAUUAGAUCAAUAAAUUAGUCCUUAUUUUGGCAACCGAACCCUGCUUCGAGUGGAAAUGUGAAUGAAAGAAUUAGGAAAGAACAAGUAAUAUCAACAAUGGGCAAAGUAGUUCAAAAGCUACGAGCGCCACUACUGUGAGAUCUCGGCAUCUCUGUCGCGCGAGUGUACAUCGACUGCUUCUCUGUGUGGAGAGCAGAAGAAGUAGAAAGUUUGUGAGAUUAAAGUUUAAACCUGGACUCGAUGAUGCAGAACUUUUGGUAAUAUUUGGACCUGGCCCUUUUUCUGGGUUCCUCAGUCGGAGAUUACCGGUGGUCUUACUUGAUAUUAUCGUGAUUAGGAGCUAGGCUGUUGCCCCCUCUCAUAAUUUGCAUAUGCUUUGGAUAAACUUGAUCAUAAAUUGGUUGUUGGGUGGUUGGUGCUACUUUACAAAAUUGGCAUUGGAUAGCCUCUCACUCUGUAUCUCCAACAUUAUAUGCCUGAAAACUUGUGGAGUGCGACGAUAAGUUUGAUCUCCAUAUCUGUUCCUAUAUCCAUCUUACCUUUGUUUUUCAAAGAUCAUAUAUUGUUUAGACAUUGUUUCUGUUUUUUAAUUCAGUCGGUCCUUAGGAUCCCUGGUGUGUUUCCGUGGUUGAUCAGUUUACAGGAUAUUUGAAUAAGAGUAUAUAUUUUUUGAUUGCUAACAGACUUUCAGUGAAAAAGAAACUCACCUUGUUUACGGUGCAUGAAUCUUAUUACUAUCUACAGGAAGGCAAGUGUUUUUGCUAUUUAUCUUUUCACCAUGUGAAUCAGGAUGACAAUUUUAAUUUCUUGUACUUAAGUCCCUGGAAUACAAUUCUUCUUUCUUGUACUGGAUGGAUCUAAAAUUAUAACACAAAGUGGAACUGAUAUAUGAAGCAAUACAGGAAGGGGAAUCAUGGAAAAUUCUUUAGGACGUCCUAAAAUGGUAGAUGAGAACCACUAUCAUAAAAUGGAUUGUUGAAUGUAACUAGUGACUUGAACUGAGAAUAUCUAAGAAAGCUUCUGAUGCAGAAGUAAAAUGUUCCACAAAAAGUAAAACCCAAGACAGGAACUCACAACAGUAUCAUGCCUUAGGAAAUCAAGUCAUAAUUUGUUUGAAUAAAACGUCAGCAAUAUGGACCUUCAAAAUUUGGAGUGUUAUUGUUGUUGCUUAUGAGAUAUUUAAGGUAGUUAUUUAUUCAUUGAUUUUUCAGUAACUAGUGCUUUUUAACAUAGUAUGUGUGUUUCAUUGGAUUAUGCCAUGUCAUAGAUCUCUGCUGAUCAAAGAUGAAAGCUGCUGAUGUCAACAGAGAGAUUAAACCAAUCUACUAAAAGUAGAUUGGUUAAAGGAGAGCAGAACAAUAUUGGGUGCAGAAACACUUGGUGUCUCAACUCGGCAAGACUUGCACCAACAGCAUCAAUCUCUCUUGCAUGCUUAUAAUGCACUACAUGGAGUGGCUGAUAACAUUGGUAAGAGUAGGAAAUUCCCCACUGGCAUGUCGAAAAGAAUGGAUAGGAGCAAGUGGGCAAUCAAUAGCAUCGACAUUGUGCUGGUUUUGGACAAUUUGUUGAUCCUGUAGGUUGAGCUCACCCAUUAAGAAUUACUGCAAAUUUUGUUAAUUUAGUCUUCCAAUUCAUUACAUACUCGAGUGCUCUAUGUGGAUGGUUAUCAACUUUUUCAUGGAAAACGCUGCUUCGGUUUUUGAGUGUAGAUAUACAAAGUGUAUAUAGUGGUAUUCUUAAA